rnacentral:rRNA from 1 species
AUCGAACGCUGGCGGCAGGCCUAACACAUGCAAGUCGAGCGAGCGGCGGACGGGUGAGUAAUGUAUGGGGAUCUGCCUGAUGGAGGGGGAUAACUACUGGAAACGGUAGCUAAUACCGCAUACCAUCAGAUGAACCCAUAUGGGAUUAGCUUGUAGGUGGGGUAACGGCUCACCUAGGCGACAAUCCCUAGCUGGGCUGAGAGGAUGAACAGCUAAACGGAGACUGAGACACGGCCCAGACUCCGACGGGAGGCAGCAGUGGGGAAUAUGGCACAAUGGGCGCAAGCCUGAUGCAGCAAUGCGGCGUGUGUGAAGAAGGCGUUCGGGUUGUAAAGUGCUUUCAGUAGGGAGGCGUUACCGAAAGAGGAAGCACCGGCUAACUCCGUGCCAGCAGCCGCGGUAAUAC